ACGGGGAGCACCACAACAGGGUGGAGCCUGUACGGUUUAAUCGGACUCAACGCCGGGAAACUCACCAGAUAAGACAGCUGAAUGAUAGUCGGGCUGAAGACUCUACUUGACUAGCUGAGAGGAGGUGCAUGGCCGUCGUCAGUUUCGUACUGUGAAGCAUCCUGUUAAGUCAGGCAACGAGCGAGACCCACGCCAACAGUUGCCAGCUCGUCCUCCGGGAUGGUGGGGACACUGUUGGGACCGCUCUGCUAAAGAGGAGGAAGGGAAUGGGCAACGGUAGGUCAGCAUGCCCCGAAUUAUCUGGGCUACACGCGGGCUACAAUGGGUGGGACAAUGGGUAUCGACACCGAAAGGUGAAGGCAAUCUCCUAAACCCAUCCGUAGUUCGGAUUGUGGGCUGCAACUCGCCCACAUGAAGCUGGAAUCUGUAGUAAUCGUGUCUCAAAAUGGCACGGUGAAUAUGUCCCUGCUCCUU
rnacentral:rRNA from 1 species